rnacentral:lncRNA from 1 species
GGAAAUGGGGUUUGCAAGCUAAGGGGCGCGUUCCUGAGCGGUCCGAUUCCUAGGAGCGCUGCGUCCUAUCAGCCUUGUCUCUAACCACAGACCCCGUCCAGAGACAGGUGAAAUGCUGGGGUUAACAACCUCACGCUAGGGUCGGCCCUCAGCGAGGCAAGAUAGAAGAACCGGUCACAGGGAGAGCCUGAGAAAGCAAAGACCCUAACAUGGCGGGCAAUUAGCAAUCUACUUCCGGAAUUUAAAGCCAGCUUCCGGAAGCCGAGCGAGUGUUCCCAUGACAACCGACGUCGGUUCCUUGAGGUCCUUGCAUUAGAGCCAAGGAAACAGCUCCGAUUUGGAAAAACUAAACAUCUCUCCUGGAGUUCUGGGCAGAGAGAAAACCAGUAGUCAUUUUCUUCGGAACUGUGGAAUGUACCCUUGGGAGUCCCACAAAUCAGGCAGAAGAUGCUCCAGACCGGUAACUACAGCCUGGUGCUCUCCCUGCAGUUCCUGUUGCUGUCCUAUGACCUGUUCGUCAACUCCUUCUCAGAGCUACUCCGAAUGGCUCCUGUUAUCCAGCUUGUGCUGUUCAUGCUGGCCUGGUCAACCUCCUUUUCCAUAAGUUCAAAGGGACCAUCAUUCUGACAUCUGUGUACCUUGCCCUCAGCAUCUCCCUACAUGUCUGGGUCAUGAACGUGCGAUGGAAAAACUCCAGCAGCUUCAGCUGGACAAACGGCCUGCAAACACUGUUUGUAUUCCAGAGACUAGCCGCAGUGCUCUACUGCUAUUUCUACAAAAGGACGGCCGUGAGACUGGGUGACCCCCGCUUUUACCAGGACUCACUGUGGCUUCGCAAGGAGUUCAUGCAAGUCCGAAGGUGACCACUUCAUGUCACAUGGGUGAAUACCUUUCCUUCCUGGUAGAAGGCGCCUGCCUGGGCUGCUCUCCAGGGAGGAGCAGCCAUUGGCACCAGGAAGCAGGGGGACUUCCUAGGACACAUUUAUGCUAUCUGUGCUCAGCAUUCAAGAAGGAAGAUUCACCAGGCAUGGUUGGAAACAGAGGCAGGAGGAUUGCUGUGGUUUGAGGCCACCCUAGGCCUACCUAAUGAGUUCUAGGUUAGCCUGUAGAGAGAGACCCUAUCUCCCCCCCCCCCCCCAAAAAAAAGAACAAAAAAAAGGAAGACCUUCCUUAUUGCAAAUUACAGUGUUUCCCUGCCGCAGACUGUAGUGCAAAGUGCAGUCUUGCCUCCUCAACCGCCCACUUCCUUCUCUUCCUACUUUGUACCACUCACUCACUGUCUUUCCCUCCUCCUUCCAAGGAUCUGCAGCUCUGGAGCUACCACUCUAAAGCUUAUGGUUCAGCCUUUUAGGUAGCAGCGAGUCAGCCUAGGCCCUGUUCUGCUGACCCCAUCCUUGAGUGACUGGAGGAUGCAGAGAGUGACGGCCAUGUCCUCCUGACUGACCACACCUUAGUCGUUUAGAUUUUAUAUCCAAAGUACUUUUUUACAGUUCUAAAAGGAGAUAAAUUGAAUUUUUUUUUAAUAAAUGGUAGAGUCUGUC